GACGAACGCUGGCGGCGUGCUUAACACAUGCAAGUCGAACGGAAAGGCCCUGCUUUUGUGGGGUGCUCGAGUGGCGAACGGGUGAGUAACAAGUGAGUAACCUGCCCUUGACUUUGGGAUAACUUCAGGAAACUGGGGCUAAUACCGGGUAGGAGCUCCUGCUGCAUGGUGGGGGUUGGAAAGUUUCGGCGGUUGGGGAUGGACUCGCGGCUUAUCAGCUUGUUGGUGGGGUAGUGGCUUACCAAGGCUUUGACGGGUAGCCGGCCUGAGAGGGUGACCGGCCACAUUGGGACUGAGAUACGGCCCAGACUCCUACGGGAGGCAGCAGUGGGGAAUAUUGCACAAUGGGCGGAAGCCUGAUGCAGCAACGCCGCGUGCGGGAUGACGGCCUUCGGGUUGUAAACCGCUUUCGCCUGUGACGAAGCGUGAGUGACGGUAAUGGGUAAAGAAGCACCGGCUAACUACGUG
rnacentral:rRNA from 1 species